UUUCUGCGGGGAAGCAGCAGUGAGGAAUUUUUCACAAUGGACGAAAGUCUGAUGGAGCAAUACCACGUGAACGAUGAAGGUCUUCUGAUUGUAAAGUUCUUUUAUUUAGGAAAAAAAAGCGCGCUAGGAAAUGAGCGCGCCUUGAUGGUACUAAUUGAAUAAGUGACAGCUAACUAUGUGCCAGCAGCUGCGGUAAAACAUAGGUCACAAGCAUUAUCCGGAUUUAUUGGGCGUAAAGGAAGCGUAGGCGGGGAGGCUGAUCCAUUGUUAAAGGCAUUUGCUCAACAAAUGUGUGCGAUGGAGAUCUCCUCCCUAGAGUUAAUCAGGGGGUACUGGAAUUCAAUGUGUAGCGGUGGAAUGCGUAGAUAUAUUGAGGAACACCAGAGGCUAAGGCGAGUACCUGGGAUAUAACUGACGCUGAGGCUUGAAAGCGUGGGGAGCAAAUGGGAUUAGAUACCCCAGUAGUCCACGCCGUAAACGAUGAGCAUUAGGUAUUUGAUGUUAGGACGAGUGCUGUAGCUAACGCGUUAAAUGCUCCGCCUGGGUAGUAUAUAUGCAAAUAUGAAACUCAAAGAAAUUGACGGGGACCUGAACAAGUGGUGGAGCAUGUUGCUUAAUUCGAUAAUACACGAAAAACCUUACCAAGGCUUGUUAUCUACUGCAAAACUAUAGAAAUAUGGUGGAGUAUAUCAGUAAGACAGGUGGUGCAUGGCUGUCGUCAGCUCGUGUCUUGAGAUGUUUGGUUAAGUCCCGUAACGAGCGCAACCCUACUCUCUAGUUAAUUAGUUCUAGAGUGACUGAAUCGUAAGAUAUAGGAAGGAUGGGGCCAAGUCAAGUCAUCAUGCCCCUUAUGCCUUGGGCUGCAAACGUGCUACAAUGGUAGGUACAAUGUGUUGCAAUCUAGCGAUAGUGAGCUAAUCACCGAAAACCUAUCCUCAGUCCCCGGAUWAAAA
rnacentral:rRNA from 1 species